UCCCAGCUACUCGGGAGGCUGAGGCAGGAGAAUUGCCUGAACCCAGGAGGCGGAGAUUGCGGUGAGCCGAGAUCGCGCCAUUGCACUCCAGCCUGGGUAACAAGAGCGAAACUCCGUCUCAAAAAAAAAAAAAAAAAAAAAAGAAAACAAACUGAAAAUCUGGUAUUUGUGCGUCUCAUACUGAUUUUUAUGAAGAAGUUAAGAAUUAUCAUUUUAAAGAAUGAAUGAAUCAAAUGCGUUUUAAGCACCGACACCUCCUCCUAGCCAUCUAAUCAAGACAAAUCUUUCAUGUGGUAAUUAAAAUACAGCUCAUCUUCAGAGGGAACAGCAAAACAAAGGCUGAAACAAUUAGCUGACUGUGCCAAACAGCAUGGUUCGCCUCCUCCGGCCCACACCUCUCCCUCUCAUCCCUAUUCUUUCAAUUGCUUGCUUUUAAGUACUGUUUUUUUCACAGGAAGAAAAAAUUCCAUUCCUGCCGAAAGUGCUACUAAAAAGUAAACAGCCCAGAAAAAAAUUACUGCCCUUCUCCACGGCACCCGGAAGGUAAACGUAUCAGCCUGAUGCAGGACAGUAAGAGCGGGAGGGUGAGUGAGCUGUGCUACCUGAAGUCAUUCAAGGACGCAGACUCCUUCUGUCUUCUGGGUCCAUUUUCAAGUUCACUCCAGUCUUCUCCCUUCAGCCAGCUGAGUGAGGAUUACAUAUGCAAAGCCCAGGCUAAUCUCCUUGACGAUGACAGACCAGAUGGUUUGAGAGAUCCAGCCAUCCCAGCUGUCCCAGCAAUCUCAGCUGAGCCCAGACACAUGAGUGAAGCCAGCCAGCACCAGCCAGUCUCCAGCCAAUUCACCAACUGACUGUAGCUGCAUGAGCUCCAGGAAAGAAUGGCAGAACUGCCCAGCAAAGACCAACCCAAGCUGCAAAAUAGUAAGCAAAUAAAUGGUUGUUUUUGUAAA